rnacentral:rRNA from 1 species
GGCAAGACCGCGAGGUGGAGCAAAUCUCAAAAAGACCGUCCCAGUUCGGAUCGCAGGCUGCAACCCGCCUGCGUGAAGUUGGAAUCGCUAGUAAUCGCGGAUCAGCAUGCCGCGGUGAAUACGUUCCCGGGUCUUGUACACACCGCCCGUCACACCAUGGGAGUCGGAAAUGCCCGAAGUCUGUGACCCAACCGCGAGGAGGGAGCAGCCGAAGGCAGGUCGGAUGACUGGGGUGAAGUCGUAACAAGGUAUC